CUUAAACUGAAUGGUAACAGACCACAAAACCCAGUGAUGAUUAGACAGCGAUAUUCUGAACAAGAGCUCUCAGCCAUACUUGUAGUUGCUUCCAUCACUUCAAUGACUCAGCAGACAUAAUAGGCUUCAGUGGGAGCUUUUAGGUUUUGGAACCAAGCAGGAGUCAUGCCUUGAGGUGGAGAAUUCCUAAGUUGGAAUGCAAGGUUUGUUCUUUGUUCUAUGAGAAGAGGUGCGGAAUGGCCGGGAGAGAGACUGGUGAGCACGUCGUGAGCUGACACACGUAAGGGUACCAGCUCUGACUCGGUCAACUAGGCACAAUCAGAAUGACAUGAGCUCCAUCCCUUUUUAUUUUCAGCAGGACCAUCGACAGCAGGGGAAAUGGAAUGCUGUCCCAUCCCCGCUCUGGAGCAGUAGUGUGGACAUUUCUUGUUCAGGCACUAAUCUUGAUAGCAACCCCUUCCUAAAUGCUGGUUCCAGUACAAUGGCAGAUCCCAGGAAAACAACAAAAUUAGAUUGUGCAGCUUCUUACCUGCAGCUCCUUUGAGACUCUCUCUAAGUGAUCCUGUUUCCACUUCCCGAUUGCAGGCUGAGUCUGAGUCAUCACUGCUCUGAUAUUACUCUAAGGAAGCUGAAAGAGAAUUCUACCAGACUGCUAUUCCUUUUGGCACAGUCCCACACUUUAAUGAGAGAUUAUCAACUCCUCAAAUAGAACAAUUAGAAGAUAAUUGAAUGGAAAAUAAUCUGAGAUUUGUAAAUUUUCUAAUAACGGUGAUCGAAAUUCUAAUUUUUCAUUAGAUUUAAAGAGAUCUUACAAAAAGUGCUAGAAUUACAACUGAUCCGUCUACCUCAGAUUUUCUUCCUCUGAGAGGUGCUCUUUAUAGAUUGUGUCUGUUCUUUUUAACUCCUCAGGGAUACAGGAAAAAUAAUCAGUGUAUAGGCACACUUUAAUAAACUACUUUGUGUGUGAGAGGAGGAUUGGCUCCUUUAUUUAGUACACCUUAGGUUUUAAGGUCCAGAAGGUCUUUAUCUUUCUCGCUGUCUGAGAAACAGAUAAGAAAAACAAAGAUGUGUAGCUGUUUGUAGAUUUGGAGAGGAAAAACAGUCUUCUGGUUAAGACACUGGACUGGAACAAGAGAUGUGGGUUCAAGUCCUGGCUCUCUUACUGAAUUCCUGCAACACUUUCGGCAAGUCUCUUCAACUCUCUGUGUCUCAGUAUACAA